AUGUGGCUGGAGCUCAUCGGGUUCAGCCACGGGGAUACCGCCGUCUACACGACCAUGUUCGCCGUCGCGACGUCCCUGGGCGGCCUCCUCGGCGGCAAGAUGGGCGACGCCCUCGCCCGGCGGUACCCGAUCAGCGCCGGCUCGGCCGUGCCUCUCGCCGGCAUCCUGCUCCUCGGCCUCCCGGAUGACCCGUCCACCGGCCUCGCGCACGGGCUCGUCCUCUUCGUCAUGGGACUCAUCAUCUCCUGGAAUGCAGCCGCGACCAACAGCCCGAUCUUCGCGGAGAUCGUGCCGGUGAAAUCAAGAACGAGCAUCUACGCGCUCGACAGGUCGUUCGAGUCGAUCCUGGCCUCGUUCGCGCCGCCGGCCGUGGGCUUCCUGUCGCAGCACCUCUACGGGUUCAGACUGGCGGACGGCGGCGCAGGCAAAGCCACCGCCGAGAGGGACCGGGAGAACGCGGCGUCGCUGGCCAAGGCGCUGUACACGGCCAUCACGAUCCCCAUGACGGUGUGCGCGCUCAUAUACUCGCUGCUGUACCGCACCUACCCGCGGGACAGGGAGCGCGCGCGGAUGCAGUCGCUGAUCGGGUCGGAGCUGCAGCACAUGGAGCUGAUCGAGGAGGGUGGCGACGGCGACGAGCGGUUCGAACUCUUCGAAACGGAAGCGGAUGACAGUGACGUGGGAACCAAGAAGCUGCUGGCGAACCGGGAGUCCUGA
rnacentral:rRNA from 1 species